rnacentral:rRNA from 1 species
AGCGCAGACGGUUAUUUAAGCAAGAUGUGAAAGCCCCGGGCUCAACCUGGGAACUGCGUUUUGAACUGGGUAACUAGAGUGUGUCAGAGGGGGGUAGGAAUUCCACGUGUAGCAGUGAAAUGCGUAGAGAUGUGGAGGAAUACCGAUGGCGAAGGCGGGCUCUCUGGCCUGUAACUGACACUGAGGCUCGAAAGCGUGGGGAGCAAACG